UCUUUUACAACAGCGUCGUCGAGCAGCCGACGAGGACGUGGACCCACGCGUGGGUUGCUUUUAGAGCGACUUACGUGCGAUGGUAGGGUGACGGUAGAGUUCCCACAGGAUUGCAUUAGACCUGUUGGGAACAAUGCCAGACUGUUUACGUCGGAGGUCGAUGUCUUAUGCCGAUCUCUGAUCCCCCCACCAUCCCCCGUUGGGGAGACGUGACAGAUGAUGUACGACAGCUCAUCCGUCAGCGUCUUCAGGAUAAAUUUGACUUGGAUUUGAGUGUUCCGCACAUUUCCUAUGCUAUCGACGACAUGAUCCAGGAGCGGUUCAAGGAGUACCGCUCCAUGUUACACAAGCGGUACAAGCGGUGCAUGAGCCACGAGGAGGCCGCAUUGUCCGCACCGCCGCACGUGACCGAUGACGACUGGCGGAUAUUCUGCGAUAGAUUUUCAUUUGAUUCUUUUCAGAAGAGGAGCAAAAUAAAUUCUGACAACAAGGGAAAGUUAAAAGUGAACCACGUAACUGGUUCAAAGUCAUUUGAUAAAAUUCGUCACAACAUGUGAGAUUCCUUCACUGGCCAGGAGCCCGGACCAAUAGACCUCUACAGAGGGACUCAUUGUCAACAGGCGACGGGAUCUUGGGUACAUCCUAGAGCCGGCGAGAUUUGGGCGGUGAUGGACACCUUACGCAAUCAGUCUACUCCCAAUAGUACUCAGCAGAGUGAGUCAGAGAUCCUGAGUGAGGUGCUUGGCACCCGUUCUAGAUAUGUGCGUGGGCUUGGCCAUGGUGCCAAGCUCAUGGCACCCGCUAGAGCUGCCUCCACCCGAUCCAUUGUCGUUGGCGAGAGCGCCACCCGCCGAGCUGAUAUCGCAGAGAAAGAGGUUCAGCAGCUACGGGUCGUCGUCCAUGACAUCAGAGAGCAGCUGGAGAAGAAGAGUGAGCAGCUGGAGAGGCAGAUGGAGGAGCAGGAGAGGAGGAUGGAGGAUCUGACGAGGCAGAGGGAGGAACAGGAGAGGAGGAUGGAGGAUCUAACGAGGCAGAGGGAGGAGUAGGAGAGGAGGAUAGAGG